ensembl:lncRNA
CUGUCACAGCCCUGUGCCCGGCCCCCAGGUGGCUGACAGUGAGGCCCACACCUGCGAGAGGCGUCUUUUAAGGAUCUGCAGCUGGGGAGAUGACACACACAGAUGAGGGUGACUCACUCCUCUGCAUGGGCCGCCAGCACCUCACACUCACCCUCCCAAGGAGGCUGGGCCACGGAAACCAGAGCAGCAGUCUUCCAGUCCCAUCAGCUUGGCUCGUUCAGCGCCAUCUGGAAGUGGGAAAGCCCAUCCCUCCCCGCUGAGCGUUUUCAGGAGCUAAGUGGUGACCGCUGCCAUUAGGUAGUGGUCUUGAGACAGGGAGCCUUGGGGACCCAAGCAGGGCAGGAGGAUGUGACACGUGGCUGGCAGGGAAGCGGGGCAUGAUGGGAGCUUGGGCUGCGCCUGACCGGGAUACGGGACCGGGCCCAUCCCAGGUGGGCUGCGAUUCCCACGGGGGUCAGCCUCUGAACGCCCGUGUGGGGUAGCUGGACAGAGGGGGCGCUAUCCGUGGUUCUGAACCCACCCUCCUGCUGGCCUUGGCCAAGCCUUGGAGGUUUCCUUAUUCCCUCUCUCUGCUUUGAUGCUGAAUGUCCUGGAUCAGUGAACAGGCAGCUCACAAGAUGCUCCGAGGCUUGGACUCCAGAGUCAGGCCCUGGAUGCCAUGCCCAGCUCUGCCACCUGCCAUCUGCACGGUGUUGGGCAAUUUUUAGUCACUGCCCAGUGACUCAGUUUCCUCGUCAAUAAAACGAAUGUAGACACACACCUUCCUAACAGGCUUGUGAGAAAUGUGGUCAAGUAGGUUUCCUAAUGACAAGUUAAUACUCAUAAAGUCUUAGAACUAUGUUUAGCACAAGUAAAUGGAGCCCUCUGCCUGUGUCCACAUCCUUUAACACGACCUCAGGAGUCUCUUGACAGUUUUCUCGAUUUCUUUCUUUCUCCUUUCCUCUCUCUCUUCCUUCCUGCCUCCUCCCCCGGCCCCACUUUACUUUGCUUUUCUAAGACAGGGUCUCACUAUGUAGUCUAGGCUGGCCUUGAACUCACUAUGUAGCCCAUGCUUGGCCUACAAUUCUCUAUCCUCCUGCCUCAGCCUCCUGAGUGCUGGGAUUACAGGCAGGCACCACCCCUGGUAGUUUUCUUGAUCUCUCAAUGGCAACACACCUCAGGUUAAUCUUGUACAUUUUCCACAUGGAACUGGCCAU